rnacentral:rRNA from 1 species
UACGUAGGGUGCAAGCGUUAAUCGGAAUUACUGGGCGUAAAGCGCGCGCAGGCGGUUCGUUAAGUCAGAUGUGAAAGCCCCGAGCUCAACUUGGGAACUGCAUUUGAAACUGGCGGGCUGGAGUGUGGCAGAGGGGGGUGGAAUUCCACGUGUAGCAGUGAAAUGCGUAGAGAUGUGGAGGAACACCGAUGGCGAAGGCAGCCCCCUGGGCCAACACUGACGCUCAGGCACGAAAGCGUGGGGAGCAAACAGG